UACGAAGGGGGCUAGCGUUGCUCGGAAUCACUGGGCGUAAAGGGUGCGUAGGCGGGUCUUUAAGUCAGGGGUGAAAUCCUGGGAGCUCAACUCCAGAACUGCCUUUGAUACUGAGGAUCUUGAGUUCGGGAGAGGUGAGUGGAACUGCGAGUGUAGAGGUGAAAUUCGUAGAUAUUCGCAAGAACACCAGUGGCGAAGGCGGCUCACUGGCCCGAUACUGACGCUGAGGCACGAAAGCGUGGGGAAGCAAACAGGG
rnacentral:rRNA from 1 species